GUCUGCGGCCAUUCCACCCUGAAUGCGUCUAAUCUUGUCUGAACUUAGAAGCUAAGCAGGGUCAGGCCUGGUUGGUACUUGGAUAGGAGUAGUUAACACAAGUUUACAGGAU
ensembl:rRNA 5S_rRNA 5S ribosomal RNA